GCGAGUUUCUGUUUGCAGCGAGCUUAAGCCGAUAGGUGUAGGCGUAGCGAAAGCGAGUCUGAAUAGGGCGCAUAGUUGCUGGCAGAAGACCCGAAACCGAGUGAUCUAGCCAUGGCCAGGCUGAAGGUG
rnacentral:misc_RNA from 1 species